GAUUAAUUGAAAAGAGCAUUUGGUGGAUGCCUUGGCAUCAAGAGGCGAUGAAGGAGGCGGAAGACUGCCAUAAGCUUCGGGGAGCUGUCAAUCAAGCUUUGAUCCGAAGAUGUCCGAAUGGGGAAACCCGUCUUGGUAAAACCAGGAUAUCCUUAUCUGAAUACAUAGGGUAAGGAGGCGAACGGCGUGAACUGAAACAUCUAAGUAGCGCCAGGAAAAGAAAACAAAGUUGAUUCCCCAAGUAGUGGUGAGCGAAAAGGGAAGAGCCUAAACCUAUGUCAUGUGAUAGCCUGUGCGCGUUGUGACGUAGGGGUUGUGGGGUACGAGCGACUAAGACGUACAGAUCUUUAGUUGUAUUUUCUUUAUUUAACUGAACGCUCUGGAACGAGCGGCCAAAGAAAGUGAAAGCCUUGUAUGUUAAAAAUAAAGAGAAGCAACAGCUUGUAAACCCGAGUAUCGUGGAGCACGUGAAAUUCCGCGAGAAUCUGCCCAGACCAUUGGGUAAGGCUAAAUACUACUUGAUGACCGAUAGCGAACGAGUACCGUGAGGGAAAGGUGAAAAGAACCCCGGGAGGGGAGUGAAAUAGAAACUGAAACCAAAUGUUUACAAUCGGUGGUAGCGAUAUAUAAGUAUGCGCAACCACGUACCUUUUGCAUAAUGAGCCAACGAGUUACUUUUAUGGUGCGAGGUUAAGCUUAGAAAGAGCGGAGCCGUAGCGAAAGCGAGUCUGAAUAGGGCGCAUAGUACCAUGAAGUAGACCCGAAACCUAGUGAGCUAUCCAUGUCCAGGAUGAAAUCUCGGUUACACGAGAUGAAGGUCCGAACCGGUGUAGGUUGAAAACUGCUCGGAUGAGGUGUGGAUAGGAGUGAAAGGCUAAUCAAACUGGGAAAUAGCUGGUUCUCUCCGAAAUAUAUUUAGGUAUAGCCUCGCUGGAUUCGUUGUGGAGGUAAAGCACAGUUUGAGUAUUGGGGGCGCGAGUCUACCAAAUUCUUACUAACUCUGAAUGCCAUGACGUUAGAAAGCGGGAGUCAGACUGUGGGGGAUAAGCUUCAUAGUCGAGAGGGAAACAGCCCAGACCAUCAGCUAAGGUCCCUAAAUGCUCGUUAAGUGGGAAAAGAGGUGGAGACGCCUAAACAGCCAGGAGGUUGGCUUAGAAGCAGCCAUCCUUUAAAGAAAGCGUAAUAGCUCACUGGUCAAGUGUCUCUGCGCUGAAGAACGAACGGGGCUUAAACGAGCUACCGAAGCUAUGGCUUGUAUUAAAAUACGUUUUAAUGCAAGGGUAGGAGAGCGUUCCUUGAUAGAUACAAGCUUGACCGUAAGGACAGGUGCCGUUGAUCAAGGAAGUGAGCAUGUUGGUAUAAGUAACGAAAAAACAGGUGAAAUUCCUGUUCGCCGUAAGUCUAAGGGUUCCGUGAGAUCGGUUCAUCCACUCAGGGUUAGUCGAUACCUAAGCCGAGGCCAAUUGGAGUAGGCGAUGGACAACAGGUUAAAUAUUCCUGUACCGCUUAGUGACGUUUGAGUGAAGGAGGGACGCAGUAGGGUAGGUUGACUUGGUGUUUGGAUGCCAAGCUAAGCGCAAAGAGGAGUCUUAUAGGUAAAUCCGUGAGGCUGUUAUCCUUGAAGCGUUAUGGGUAUAUCAAUUCUUAGGGAGCGAUGUAUUCGAUUGAUCCCACACUGACAGGAAAAUCUCCUAGCGAGUCACAUGAGUGAUCGUACCGCAAACCGACACAGGUAGACGAGCAGAGAAUGCUAAGGCGUUGAGAUAAUUAUCACUAAGGAACUCGGCAAAAUAGCCCCGUAACUUAGGGAGAAGGGGUGCCCAUAUUGUUAUUAGAGUUUACUCUGAUAAGCAAUGGUGGGUUGCAAUAAAGAGGCCCAAUCGACUGUUUAACAAAAACACAGGGCUCUGCAAACUCGUAAGAGGAAGUAUAGAGUCUGACGCCUGCCCAGUGCUGGAAUGUUAAUAGGAGAGGUUAGCUCUUCGGAGCGAAGCUUUGAAUUGAAGCACCAGUAAACGGCGGCCGUAACUAUAACGGUCCUAAGGUAGCGAAGUACCUUGUCGGGUAAAUUCCGACCCGCAUGAAUGGCGUAACGAGUUGGGCGCUGUCUUGGUGAUAAACUCAGUGAAUUUGUAGUGCCGGUGAAAAUGCCGGCUACCCGCGAAAGGACGGAAAGACCCCGUGCACCUUUACUAUAGCUUGACAUUGAUUUUUGGAUUGAUUUGUGUAGGAUAGGCGGGAGACUUUGAAGUUAAAGCGCUAGCUUUAAUGGAGUCGUCCUUGAAAUACCGCCCUUGUUGAUUUGAAAAUCUAACCUCGACCCGUAAUCCGGGCGGGAGACAGUGUCUGGUGGGUAGUUUGACUGGGGUGGUCGCCUCCCAAAUUGUAACGGAGGCGUUCAAAGGUUCCCUCAUGGCGAAUAGAAAUCGCCUUAAGAGUGUAAAGGCAUAAGGGAGCUUAACUGCAAGACCUACAAGUCGAGCAGGUGCGAAAGCAGGACUUAGUGAUCCAGUGAUUCCGCAUGGAAGGGUCAUUGCUAAACGGAUAAAAGGUACGCCGGGGAUAACAGGCUGAUCUCCUCUAAGAGUCCAUAUCGACGAGGAGGUUUGGCACCUCGAUGUCGGCUCAUCACAUCCUGGGGCUGGAGAAGGUCCCAAGGGUCUGGCUGUUCGCCAGUUAAAGUGGUACGCGAGCUGGGUUCAGACCGUCGUAAGACAGGUCGGUCCUUAUCCGUCGUGGGCGCAGGGUAUUUGAGGAGGGUUGUCCCUAGUACGAGAGGACCGGGAUGAGUGAGCCUCUAGUGUUCCAGUUGUUCUCCAAGAGCAACGCUGGGUAGCUAGGCUCAUUAGAGAUAACCGCUGAAAGCAUCUAAGUGGGAAACUCGCUUCAAGAUUAGAUACCCCUUGUCGUAAGACAAAUAAGACCCCUUGAAGACUACAAGGUUGAUAGGCUGGGUGUGUAAGCACAGUAAUGUGUUCAGCUAACCAGUACUAAUAGGUCGAAUGUUUUAAUCAC
rnacentral:rRNA from 1 species